rnacentral:rRNA from 1 species
UACGGGGGGGGGCAAGCGUUGUUCGGAUUCAUUGGGCGUAAAGGGCGCGUAGGCGGCGGGGUAAGUCUGGUGUGAAAUCUCGGAGCUCAACUCCGAAAUUGCACUGGAUACUGCUCUGCUUGAGGGUUGGAGAGGAGAUCGGAAUUCACGGUGUAGCAGUGAAAUGCGUAGAUAUCGUGAGGAAGACCAGUGGCGAAGGCGGAUCUCUGGACAAAUCCUGACGCUGAGGCGCGAAGGCUAGGGGAGCAAACGGG